GACGAACGCUGGCGGUAUGCCUAAUACAUGCAAGUCGAGCGGAGCUCUUCGGAGCUUAGCGGCGAACGGGUGAGUAACACGUGGGCAACCUGCCCUCUAGACUGGAAUAACUUGGGGAAACUUAAGCUAAUACCGGAUAAUCUUACAUAUCGCAUGAUAAGUAAGUAAAAGAUUUAUCACUAGAGGAUGGGCCCGCGGUGCAUUAGCUAGUUGGUGGGGUAAUGGCCUACCAAGGCGACGAUGCGUAGCCGACCUGAGAGGGUGAUCGGCCACACUGGGACUGAGACACGGCCCAGACUCCUACGGGUGGCAG
rnacentral:rRNA from 1 species